AUGGUUUUCAAAGCCUGGCAUGAAGAGGUCCUGGGGGGAGUUUCCAGGAUCUGCGUCCUGCAGGACCUGAUGCCCAGGUCACCAUCCAGAGACCCCUGGGCAGAGGAGGAAGAUGGAGGGAAGAACUGGACAGCUGACUUUGCAGUGAGUUUUCUGAUUCAUCAACUGUGUCACAGGGUGGAUGCCUUUGCAGCUCCAGGAAAGGCACAGGGAAGACACUGCAGAGGCCAGACAAAGUGGGACCACUUCCAUGGAGGCAGCGAGGGAAGUUCGCUAAGGAGGUGGCUGAGGACCCACCCUCCCCAGCAGCACAGCAGCGCCCCUCGGCACGCCCUUCAGGAAGUCUCUCUGGGAAGGAUCAGGGCCUCAGCAGCAUCAAGAGACCAUGCAGUGUCUCCCCCACUAAUGGCUUGAGGAGGUGAGGAACUGGGAGCCUGUGCACAGGGACCCUCCUUCAGCCUGGCCCCCACGCUCAGAAUUGAGCCUCCACUGCCCUGCAGCCCGUCUACAACCAUGGAGGACUCAGCACUGCUGUCAGCCACUGAGACUUGGGGAGUCGGGUCCUGCAAGGAUGCUGAAAUUCAGGGUGACACAUACUGCCAUGUUUUUAAAAGGAGGCCUGCUGAUAAACGUACUUGAAAACCGUUCAAAAAAAAAAAAAAAGAAAACCGUUCAUCUGUUCCAACCCCUCUAUGGAUAGAUGAGAAACUGGAGGCUAGAUAAGCACUAUCAAGCUGGCAUCAAAGUCUCCUAUCGUUUCUGGGAGCCAGAUUUGGGAGGGAGGUCAGAAAGAGCAUUUGGCAAUGACUUGGUUUUCUUAACCCCAAGGCACUGGGCAUCUUGGUAUGUGGAUCUACUGUGUGUCUCCUAGGAAGUCUGGGUUGUACAGUGGUCCUCCUGAGAGCAGCCCCUGCCCACCCAGCCCAUCAGAGAUCCCUCCUCCCCAUCCUGUUAAACAAGGUGCCACUGGAGCAACACCCCUGCAUGGAGGCAGACACUGAAUCUCUUCACCAUCAUAUUGCUUGUGCCUGAGUUAGGCGCACCCACAUUUGUGGGAUGAAUGAAUAAGUUCAGGGACCUGCAGGGAGAGCUCAAGAAGGUUGACCCAAGAAGGUAGCUAAGCCCUAUGGCUGCUGCUCAUUGUCCCUACGAGAUGACCGUCCAUAACAAGGGUGUGCUCCGUGGUCGGAGAAUAAAGGUUUUCUCUCUGCAGAGCUAUCUGGACCA
rnacentral:lncRNA from 1 species